rnacentral:misc_RNA from 1 species
UUAUCGAAAUACAAGCCGAGGAGGGGAGGGGGAGGACUGUCGCUGCGCCCCGGCGCGAGCACGUCCCUUUCGAACCUCGUAGGCGUCGACCUCGUCACACCGUGUGCACCCUAUGUGGGUCCUUCGGGACCCACGUCUCCUCCUCCUUAAGCUCGCAUGUCUACAGAACGUGUACUUCGGUCUUCGUGCCGACGAACUUGAUACAACUUUCAGCGAUGGAUCUCUUGGCUCUCGCAUCGAUGAAGAACGCAGCG